GUUUAACGCUGGCGGCGUGCCUAAUACAUGCAAGUCGAACGGAACACUAUUUCUGAGAACCUCGCUCCUUUGCGGGAUUGUCAUCAGUAGUGUUUAGUGGCGGACGGGUGAGUAACACGUUGGUACCUGCCCUUUAGUGGGGAAUAACUCGGCGAAAGUCGGGCUAAUACCGCAUGUGAUCCUUCGGGAUUAAAGCCUUCGGGCGCUAAAGGAGGGGCCUGCGUCUGAUUAGCUUGUUGGUAAGGUAAUGGCUUACCAAGGCGAUGAUCAGUAGCUGGUUCGAGAGGAUGAUCAGCCACACUGGAACUGAGAUACGGUCCAGACUCCUACGGGAGGCAGCAGUAAGGAAUCUUCCGCAAUGGACGAAAGUCUGACGGAGCAACGCCGCGUGCAGGAUGAAGGCUUUCGGGUCGUAAACUGCUUUUGUAUGGGAAGAUUAUGACGGUACCAUACGAAUAAGGACCGGCUAACUACGUGCCAGCAGCCGCGGUAAUACGUAGGGUCCAAGCGUUAUCCGGAAUUACUGGGCGUAAAGCGUCUGUAGGCGGAUUGUUAAGUGCAUCGCGAAAUCCUGUGGCUCAACCAUAUGGACUGUGAUGCAUACUGGCAAUCUAGAGGAUGGCAGAGGCAAGUGGAAUUACCGGUGUAGCAGUGAAAUGCGUAGAUAUCGGUAGGAACACCAAUGGCGAAGGCAGCUUGCUGGGCCAUUUCUGACGCUAAGAGACGAAAGCGUGGGGAGCGAACAGGAUUAGAUACCCUGGUAGUCCACGCCGUAAACGAUGCACACUAGCAAUAUGGAGUAUCGACCCUCUGUGUUGCGAAGCUAACGCGUUAAGUGUGCCGCCUGGGGAGUACGAGCGCAAGCUUAAAACUCAAAGGAAUUGACGGGGACCCGCACAAGCAGUGGAGGAUGUGGUUUAAUUCGAAGCUACGCGAAGAACCUUACCGAGGCUUGACAUCCCAGGAAGGCCGCCGAAAGGUGGCUGUGCCUUCGGGAGCCUGGUGACAGGUGCUGCAUGGCCGUCGUCAGCUCGUGUCGUGAGAUGUUGGGUUAAGUCCCGCAACGAGCGCAACCCUUGUCGUCUGUUGUAUUUUUCAGACGAGACUGCCCGGGCCAACCGGGAGGAAGGUGGGGAUGACGUCAGGUCAGCAUGGCCCUUACGCCUCGGGCCACACACGUCCUACAAUGGCCGGUACAAUGCGUUGCCAACCCGCAAGGGGGAGCUAAUCGCACCAAAACCGGUCUCAGUUCGGAUUGCAGGCUGAAACUCGCCUGCAUGAAGUUGGAAUUGCUAGUAAACGUGGGUCAGCAUACCACGUUGAAUACGUUCCCGGGUCUUGUACACACCGCCCGUCACACCACGAAAGUCGCCAAUGCCCGACGUGCCUACAUUGCUAGGUCCUAAGGCAGGGGUGGUAAUUGGGGUG
rnacentral:rRNA from 1 species